rfam:Oryza brachyantha chromosome 10, whole genome shotgun sequence.
AAUAAUCUUAUUUUUCGUUUUUUCGUGUCCAACGUUUGACCAUUCAUCUUAUCUACCAUUUUUUGCGAUUAAUAUUUUUAUUGUUACUGGGUGAUAAAAUAUGAAUAGUAUAUGUGACUAAUUUUUUUAAAGUUUUUUAUAAUUUUUUCAAAUAAAACGAAUGGUCAAACGUUAGACACGGAAAAACA